GAUGAAGAACGCAGCGAAAUGCGAUACGUAAUGUGAAUUGCAGAAUUCAGUGAAUCAUCGAGUCUUUGAACGCACAUUGCGCCCCCUGGUAUUCCGGGGGGCAUGCCUGUCCGAGCGUCAUUGCUGCCCUCAAGCACGGCUUGUGUGUUGGGCCUCCGUCCUCCUCCCGGGGGACGGGCCCGAAAGGCAGCGUCGGCACCGCGUCCGGUCCUCGAGCGUAUGGGGCUUCGUCACCCGCUCUUGUAGGCCCGGCCGGCGCUUGCCGACACAUCAAUCUUUUUUCCAGGUUGACCUCGGAUCAGGUAGGGAUACCCGCUGAACUUAAGCAUAUCAAUAAGCGGAGGA
rnacentral:misc_RNA from 1 species